rnacentral:rRNA from 1 species
ACAUACACAUCCGCCCGGGUACUACGAGCACAGCUUAAAACCCAAAGGACUUGGCGGUGCCUCAGACCCACCUAGAGGAGCCUGUUCUAGAACCGAUAACCCCCGUUAAACCUCAUCACUUCUUGUUUUUUCCGCCUAUAUACCGCCGUCGUCAGCUUACCCUGUGAAGGUCUAACAGUAAGCAAAAUGGGCCCACCCAAAAACGUCAGGUCGAGGUGUAGCGCACGAAGUGGAAAGAAAUGGGCUACAUUUUCUACACCAUAGAAUAUUACGAACGGCAUCUUGAAACUAGAUACCAGAAGGUGGAUUUAGUAGUAAAAAGUAAAUAGAGUGUACCUUUGAAUUAGGCUCUGAGACGCGCACACACCGCCCGUCACUCUCCCCCACAUAAUUCCAACCAAUCCAUAAUAAAACAACCAUAAACACGGGGAGGCAAGUCGUAACAUGGUAAGUGUACCGGAAGGUGCACUUGGAAUAAC